AUCGCUUCUCGGCCUUUUGGCUAAGAUCAAGUGUAGUAUCUGUUCUUAUCAGUUUAUUUAUUUAGUGGAGAGUUAAGCUUAUGGUUAUAAAGUAAAUUCAAAAUAUGUCAUUGCAAAAUUU
ensembl:snRNA U2 U2 spliceosomal RNA